AUUUUUUACUCGGAACAAUUACAAUUUUAGGAAAUAUUAUUAUACUGGGAAUUGACAUUUUUAGCAGUAUAUAUGUGUAUUAUUUUCAUUGUCUUUUAUUGAUUGUAACAUAUAAUAAAUAAAGUUUUGUUUAAAAAAAAAAAAACAUUGUUAUCAUAUGUAAUGAAUUGUUUUAUUGCACACAAAAUUAAUGUUUGAUUAAUUUUUGCGUUAUGUAUUUAUUAUUUUUUUAAAAUUGUCAUGUAUUAAUAUACUUUGCAUUUAUUUUUAAUUUUAAUUAAAAUGUAAAUGACUUAUGGAUAUUAUAAAAAUAUUGUAGACGAUAAGCACUUUUGGGAAUGAAUAGGAUUGUAUUAAAUAUAUACAAAGUAAUACGCACCUUUAAUCAUCUGAUAAACAUAAAUGUGUUUGCAAGGGCUAUAAUAAAAUCUCACAAAUAAAGAAUAAUGAAAGUUUUUGUAAUUUGUGACUAUUAAUUAUCACUUUUCUUUAAACACUAAAUAUUACACUUAUGUUGGUAUUAAAUUAUAUGCAUAUUUUAUGUAGGGUGUAUAAGUUUUUUUUGUUUUUUUUUUAUACAUUCAAUAAAUGAAAAGCACCAAACAAAAUGAUUAAUUUUUUUCUUUUUGUAAUAUAAAUAAACAAAUUUUAACAUGUUUAUAUUAUUAAAAUGCUUUUUAUUAAAAUUUUUGUUUUUAUCAUUUUAAUACAAUUCUCCCAAUUUUACUGCGAGGUAACAUAUCAUGAAAAUCAGACAUCUAAUGACAAAGUUUACGAAAAAAUAAUUGAAAUUAAUACAGUGUUUGAAACGAUUGAAGAAUUAAAUCAAUCCCUAGUACAAAGUAACAGUGUGGAAUUACUUGAUCCAGAAGAGUUAUUAAAUGAAACGAGUUUAUCUAAUAAAACAUUAUUAUUUACAACACAAGCAUCAAUGCAAUUGGAACAGAUUUCGAGGAUUUUAAAAAAUAUAGCUUAUAAUUUAAGAAUUGUUAAUAGACGUUUUGAAAAAAAAAUGGCUCAGUUAUUUACUAAACGAAUUAAGAAUAAAAAAGCAUUGAAAAAGAUUAACUCUGAUAUGGUAUUGAUUUUGAAGGAAUACAAUAAAAAUCUGUUAAGUAUUAUACCUAAUUAUUUGAAAUAUAUCAAUAUGUAUGCAUUAGUUAUGUUUCUACAAUUAAUUAUUGACUCUAUAGUUACGAAAAUGUUUAUUAAUGGUGUUUUCAUUGAGUCUACUGUAAAUUAUUCCUUAUGUAUAUGUAUCUCAAUCGAACAAUAAAAAAAAAAACAUAAAAACAUAUGUUUAUACUACUAUUAAUUAACAUGUUUGAUAUUAUACAAACAUAUUUAAUUAUAAUUGUAAAUAAUAUGUGCUUAUAUUUUUAAAAUAAAAGAGUUUGUUUGAUUAGUAUAAAGUAUAUG
rnacentral:lncRNA from 1 species